CAGCAGCCGCGGUAAAACCAGCACCUCGAGUGGUCAGGAGGUUUAUUGGGCCUAAAGCAUCCGUAGCCGGUUGCAUAAGUUUUCGGUUAAAUCUAUGCGCUUAACGUAUAGGCCGCCGAAAAUACUGUGCAGCUAGGGAGUGGGAGAGGUACACGGUACUCGAUAGGAAGGGGUAAAAUCCUUUGAUCUAUUGAUGACCACCUGUGGCGAAGGCGGUGUACCAGAGCACGUUCGACGGUGAGGGAUGAAAGCUGGGGGAGCAAACCGGAUUAGAUACCCCUGUAGUCCCUGUCUCUUAUAC
rnacentral:rRNA from 1 species